GUCAUAGAUGAAGAUUAUAGAGGAAAUGUCGGCGUCGUGCUGUUCAAUUUUGGAAAAGAGAAGUUCGAGGACACUGGAUAACACUGAGAGAGGCUCAGGAGGCUUCGGCUCCACGGGAAAGAAUUAAAACUUUGCUUGAAGUACUUUGCUGUUUGAACACUGUAAACGAGCUUUAAUUUCAGAAGCAUUUUGUGUUCUAGGAUGUAGGAAAGGAUACCUAUCACGGUGGAACUGCUCUGUUCUCUAGUUGAUGGUUGCCUGUAAAUCUGUAUCGUGAGAAUGGCAUUGACAUGCAGACUUGGUUAUUAGAUAUUUUUUUUAAAUUUGGUGUUGUAUUUAAAUUAUAGUCCUAUAAGAACUGAUUUUGCUCUAAUUGCUAUAUUAUUUGUAAUUUUUUUUUUUUUAUCCAAUAAAGUCCGAAGUCUUUAGC
rnacentral:lncRNA from 1 species